CAAAAAAAAAAAAAAAGAGAAAAAGGAAGCGUAUGAACAGAACUACCUACGUAAACAAAGUGACAACAUCUCGACGAUAUCCACGAACUAUCAAAAGCCUGGGUACAUUUUCAACCAAUAGGUCCAUGUAUUCCAUGUAGAAAAAUGCUGGAUGAUUGGCAGGAGGAGGAGGAAGACUUACAAACACAACUGCAGCCAUCCUCGAGUAUUUUAGAAUCGUUGAAUUCAGCUUCAAAGUGGUAUACAGGAAUUUCUCAACUUGCUGCUCAUUGACAACCACUGGUUUUCCAUCAGCCAUCAAAGGAGUCUUAUCCCUCUCCGCUCUCUCUUUCAUCUCUCCCAGAUAACUAGCUAUUCUUCCCUGAGCAGCACUGAAUGCUUCAAUAGAUUCUUGCUGCUCCCCUUGGCCUUCCCAUGACUUCAUGGAAAUGACAAUUACCUCAGCUUGCAUCCGAAGGUCAUAAAGAAAUUUCUUUACGUCGGCCUUGAGUCCCUCUGCAUCAGAAUCUUCCUCAGCAAUGCAGAAAACCUGGAUCUUACAGCCCUCAAAGCUAUCUUUUGUGAGAAGCAGUUGAGAUAGCAACAGCAUAAGACCACCAUCUCUGACUAUCCAGUACAAAUCAAUGGUUCCAUACUGUCUUUGAUACUCAUUAGGCCAUUCAUCUAGACCCUUCACAAUAACUACAGCCUUGUUUGCAACAAUGCAGUCAUUUAUUAUUCCAACAAAGGUAGCAGGAAUUUCAAUCAAAUUUUCACGCCGCCAUAUCUCAGGGUACCGCAUAACAAUAAUGUUUGGCUUGAGAUUCCCAAGACCCAUAGUCUGAACAAUGCCU
rnacentral:misc_RNA from 1 species